rnacentral:lncRNA from 1 species
UGGGGAUGUAAUAUAGUUCAGUACAACUCAGUGGGUUCAAUGCUCAGUACUACAAAUGUACAUCCUAGAAAGAUAGAUGCCUAGAUAAAAAUAAUAAUAUUAAGGAAAUCAGCCAUCAAUUGGUUUCACUAUGAAUAUAAAGAUGGGCCAUAGGGUCUUCUUAUCAGAGGGAAUGCUCAGGUUGUGGACCCAAGACAUGACCUCACUUCCUUGGCAACAUGUCAAAUGGAACUUGGAGCCCUUUGUGAGCAUGCAACACAGUAGAGUGACAGAUACCUCCAGAGCUCACUUUUCCAGAGUCAGUGAACAGUAAACAUGCUGAGCUGCUUCUCAACUUCUCAAGGCAAGAGCCACAGGACUUCAGGCAGAGAAAGCAUCUUUGAACGACUUAGAAGAUGGUUCACUCCAUCUAGACGCUUCAGGCCACAUUGCAGGAGCCUCUCAACCAUCAGGGAAAACCCAGGCCAGGUCUCCCCAGGCAUGACUACCACGAACCCAGAGCCACCAAGGAGCCUGGGGCAAGUCUCCCGAAGCUCACCCGCCAGAAUCAGGAAGAUCCCAGAAAGCCCAAGAAACGUCUCCCCAGGGCCUGGCACUAGGCACCCCAAGACACUAAAGAGCCAAGAGCAGGUCUCCUUAGGCCCAGCUUCCAAGCACCAAAAGACUCCAAGGGACCUAGGGAAGAUCUGCAAAGGCCCUGCUACCAGGGGCCCAAAGCAAGCAAGGAUCCCAGUAAAGGUCUCCUCAGCCCUGACCACCAGUCACACAGAAAAAUCGAGGAACACAGGAGAAGCCUCCUUAGGCCCAACUCCUCAGGGCACAAAGACACCAAGGAGACCAAGGCAGGUCUCACCAGGCCCAGCCACCCAGUGCUCAGAGAUACCACCUAGCUCUGGGCAGGUCUCCCCAGAGCCAACAACCAGGAGCCCAGAGACCGCAAGGUUUGACACCAACGGUCCAGGUGACAGUAGCCCAGAGUCACUGAGUAGUGCAGGGGAAGUCUUCCCAUGGGAGGUCUUCCCUGGCCUAGCCAUUUGGUCCCCACAAAGACCUAGGAGCCCAGGGGAGGUCUUCCCAGAGGAGGUUUUUCCAAGCCUGGGCAUGAGAAACACCCCAAGACCUAGGAGCCCAGGGGAAGUCUUUCGAGAGGAGGUCUUCCCAGGCCUGGCCAUGAGGCUCCAACAAACACACAGGAGCCCAAAGGAGGUCAUUCCUGAGGAGGUCUUCCCAGAGUUAGUCUCCAGGCGAUCAAAGACAGAAAAAGGAAAGGUCUUCUCUGGGCUGUCAAUACGGUGCUCAGAGACAGUAAUGAACCCAGACAAGGUCCUCCCCGGCCUGUCCACCAGCCACCGAGAGACACCAGGAAGCCCAACACACGUCCACUCUGGCCUGGACACCACUAUUGGAAAUCACUACGCUGGGAGCCUGGCAGAAGACUCGCUAGUCUGGCUGGGGCAAGCAGUCACGCUGCACUCCCUCACAGAGCCUCUGAUGCCAGCUUUCCCAGAAAGCCAAACCUUCCUUGGUCCCUCCUUCCCGAGCACCACCAGGCCCUGCACCUUCGCCCAACAGGCCAAGAUGAUGGGAAGGGUUGUCUCCUUCCUCCUCAACUCCUGGCUGGAGAUGCACACCCAGGUGGACCUCCCAGCCCACUGUCCUCUGACUCAGCUGUAGCAUCCCCAACCCCACUGAGGAAGAGAGCAAGGGGCCAGCUGCAGCCCAAGCUCAAGUCCCACCGCAGAGCCGGUGUCAGCUCUACCUGCAGCUCCCUCACCAGCUCUAGCACUGAAAUGAGAACCAGCAACAAGAACCACUUCUCCACCAGCUCCAUACCUGGGGUCCCUUGUUCCACAGCUGAUGUCACUCCUGACCACCACCUGUGGCCAGCUCCUGCUGCACAGCCACCCUUCUGCUCCUUGGCUGUUGCAGUUACUGUUAUAUUUACUCAUACCUUUAAUUCCCAGUUUUCUAUAAAUAUAUUAAUUUCAAAUAUAAUCUCAGAGUUAGUUUUUUGUGAUGGUCAGGUCAGUGGCAUCAAGAAC